rnacentral:rRNA from 1 species
AGAGUUUGAUCCUGGCUCAGGAUGAACGCUGGCGGCGUGCUUAACACAUGCAAGUCGAACGGAGUAAUUAAGGUAGCUUGCUACAUUAAUUACUUAGUGGCGGACGGGUGAGUAACGCGUGGAUAACCUACCUUACACAGGGAGAUAACAACGAGAAAUCGUUGCUAAUACCGCAUAAGUGUGAUUUUCGCAUGGGGAUCAUAUGAAAGCUCCGGCGGUGUAAGAUGGGUCCGCGUCUGAUUAGCUAGUUGGUGAGAUAACAGCCCACCAAGGCAACGAUCAGUAGCCGGCUUGAGAGAGUGGACGGCCACACUGGGACUGAGACACGGCUCAGACUCCUACGGGAGGCAGCAGUGGGGAAUAUUGCACAAUGGGGGAAACCCUGAUGCAGCGACGCCGCGUGAAGGAAGAAGGUCUUCGGAUCGUAAACUUCUAUCAGCAGGGAAGAAGGAAGUGACAGUACCUGAGUAAGAAGCCCCGGCUAACUACGUGCCAGCAGCCGCGGUAAUACGUAGGGGGCGAGCGUUAUCCGGAAUUACUGGGUGUAAAGGGUGCGUAGGCGGUAUGGCAAGUCAGUUGUGAAACCCCCUGGCUCAACCAGGGGCUUGCAAUUGAAACUGUCAUACUAGAGUGCAGGAGAGGAAAGCGGAAUUCCUAGUGUAGCGGUGAAAUGCGUAGAUAUUAGGAAGAACACCAGUGGCGAAGGCGGCUUUCUGGACUGUAACAGACGCUGAGGCACGAAAGCGUGGGGAGCGAACAGGAUUAGAUACCCUGGUAGUCCACGCCGUAAACGAUGAGUGCUAGGUGUUGGGGUCUAAUUAGAUCUCGGUGCUGAAGUUAACGCAUUAAGCACUCCACCUGGGGGAGUACGAUCGCAAGAUUGAAACUCAAAUGAAUUGACGG